UCCCCCUCAAUUCAGUGCAAAAAUGGUGGCCGUCUGGUGCGUUGAUUGUUGUGAUGGUGAGAUGACAAUUCUCUUUCUCAGCUUUUUGACAACUGCAGCUGAAGUUUUCGUGCUCCCUGAGUGUUCUCGGCAUUAGAGAUGGAAUGGUCCCAUCCAAUAGUGCAACCUGUGUCUUUCAUUCUCAAAGGAACUUCUAUUUUCCAGAUAAAAAUCUAGAAUCAUAUCCUAAAGAGGUUUAGUCUCCAGUUCAACAGCAGCUGCCGAUAAUGGUCCUGGGAACUUCCUCGCCCGUUUAGUGCGUCGAUUCGCCAAUUAUUUGUUUGGCCGAUUGCAUCGCUUUGGACUCCAACAUCACUGCAAUGAACCGAAACUAGGACGCUCUUUCGUUGCCAGGAGUGAUAAAGGAUAUCCUACGGGGUAAAAUUCCAUUAUAACUAUUUGUGGCUUCAAUGUUCUUUGUUUUGGAUUUUACAGGAGAUUAAGUCUGUGUUAGUGUGGUCAUAGUUCGCCGCCAGUCAGUCCAGUUGAACAGAUUGCGUCGCAGCCGGGAACUUCUUUUGGUUAUUCCAUGGAAAUUGGAAAUUGUGUGGAAGAUCAUCUACACUCACCUGGAUUUUGAAGGACAUGGAGUGGUUAAGAGAAUAAGAGUGAAGAGAAUUUGAGAUUGGAAAAUGGUUCAUUUCUUGCAGCCUUUGUUGGUGAAGAUUUUUGUGCAUCAAAUUUACCUGUGGCUGUUCCUUGGUGCUGGUGUCGUGUUAUGGAAGUUGCAGCCAGUAUUUUGUUCGAUUUUCAUUAUGUCCAUGCUGUUUACCAUUUACAUGUUAAGAAGAAACAAAAAUAUGGGGAGUAUUUAUGCCAAGCAAAUAAUAGACAGUUCCUCGCGUUGUAAAAAC
rnacentral:lncRNA from 1 species